GUCCUCGUAGCUUAUACAAAGCAUGACACUGAAGAUGUCAAGAUGGUCGCUACACGCACCCAAGGACA
rnacentral:tRNA from 2 species